rnacentral:ncRNA from 1 species
GAGAGCCGGAUGCUCGGUAACGGGCACGUCCGGUUCGGGAGGCGGCCUGGGGAAACGGGCUGGCCGAAAGGCCAGUACCGCGCCCCAGGCCGACCUCAC